GUUCUCGGGUCGAAGCACGACAUUCUUCCUGGAAUCGUCGAACAAGAACAGUGGCCCCGCGGGGAUGAAUCGAGGCCCGAGCUCGCUGGCCAUGAAAUCGAAGGUGGGCGCCUCGAGGUCGUAGAAGGAAUUGACGAGGACCCAGCGCGCGCGCUUCACGACGGGGGAGCGCUUGAUGCAAAUCUCCUUCAACACCUCCUGGCCCUCCGAGGCCAGCAGGCAAUCGGGCACAUCGGCCAGGCGGAGGGGCUUGACUCCUCGGACGUAAUCGAUGAUCACGGCAUUGGCCUCGUCGGGGGAAGCUUUCCCUGCGUCAACAGAGGAGGUUAAUUCCAAAGGGAAGAACAGGGGAAAUUUGAUGGUCCAAGGGAAGAACAGGGUAAAUACAAGGGAAGAAUAGGGGAAACGCUUAAUUCCAAGGGAAGAACAGGGGAAGAACGGAGAUUCGCACCUCUGCUAGGAAAGAUGUGAUCUUUCUCCAGAAGCUCUGGAAUGUGGUACUCAAAGCUCGUCCAUGCCGCGUUUCCCGACCAAAGAAUGAUCCUGGGGAUUCCAAACACAGCCGCCACAUCCUGGGUCCAAUCGCAGAUGUAAUCCGAGACGAUACAGCUGACCGGAUCGCCCUCCUCGCCGAGCUUGCGGAUCAAAUCCUCGAGGCCGCCGGGGAGCUCUCGCGCGGCUGCCGUGAACCAGUCCCCCACAUUUCCUGCGACGUUGGCGUCGACUCCUCGCGGGAGCUUCCACGAGAAUGGGAUGGAAUGGAGGCGCAGAGCUUCCAGCCCCGCCGGCGCCACCCAGUGCUUGACGAACUCGUCGUGGAGGCUGUCGAUAUUGACCCAGGAGAUUGUGAAGCUUGGAUCUUGGGCGAUGAACUUACAGAGAUGGAUCAUUGGGGAGAUAUGGCCUUGCGCGGGCGCUGGAAACGCCAAGACAUGGACCUUGCGAGAAGCCAUGGUUUCCUUGGCAGGGUUCAUCGGUAUUUAUUAGAAUGGUUUUCUUGGCGGGGAAGGCAACGGAUGUUUACACAAGUUGAUUUCUCGACAAAGAGAGAUUAGCAUAAGCGUUGUGAGAGGCAAUUCUGCUCUAGAACGAGACUCACAUUGACCCAAGUUGCAAUUCAUUACAGCUCCUGAAUUUGAACAAGCAAUGAUCCUAUGGAUAGCUGCCGCAUGAAUCUUGAGAAGGUGGCAAAAAUCUGUCCCUACACCUGGCGGCUGGGAAGCUUCCGGCCUUUGAGAAUAUGGUAAGAGCAUUUAACAUUGGAGCAAUCAGAUUCAUGAGUGCUGCUCUUGUCCACAAAAUGGCCGUGGCUAAGUCCAGCCUAAAAUAAGUGCAUGAUUAUCGAUCAAGAGAACGCUCGUUGUCUUCUCUUUGGCUGGAAAUGAUGCCUGGUCUGGGCAAAUGCAAGUUAGCAAAGAUUCCGAGCAACAAUACUGUACUCAAGCAUUUGUAGAGUUUUUUUUUGUAAACAUCGAAAAUCCCAAACGUUUUCAUGUAAGUUUUAAUUAACUAAGUCUUACAGUUCUUUUGCAUCUGCUUUUUUCCUCACCGAGAAAUGUUACAUAGAGCACAUAACUAAUGUCCAUUUGCUUUGAUUGUAACUUAUGGUCGGUCACUAGCAAUAGAGCAUUCUUGAACAAUUUUGUCAAGUAAUCUUUGUUUGUUUGCUCAGCCAUUUCCAACAUUAUCCAAAUCCCACGCACAAGCGUUUUACUUGACUAGCAUGUGUUUAUCUUCAGAACUGAUAGAUAGAAAGUUCUUAUCAAAGAAUGCAUCGUUCACUCACUUGCGAUCCAGCUUCAUAGCUUUGAGAUCUUCCAGCCAUCCCUGGAGGCCACAAAACGACUUCCCAUUCUCUUUGUCCAUAGCUUUCCUCGCAAGGAUCUUCAAGUUCUCCACUCUCUCCUUCAUCUUCUUCCCCUCCUCGCUAUCCAUCACCUUUCUUAUGCCGUCCUCGAUCUCUCCUCGCUCGAUCAAUCCCUGCACCACUGUCUUGGAGAAUCUAACCCCGAUCUUCCAGUCCUCCACUAUAAACUUACAGUUGGUGUUUUGCUCACCCCCGUAAGGCCACCCCAGCAUUGGAAUGCCAUUUGCGAUGCUCUCCUGGAUGGAAUUCCAUCCGCAGUGCGUGAGAAACGCUCCCAUGGAGGGAUGGGCGAGAACUCGAAGCUGUGGCGCCCAGGAAACGAUGAAUCCCUGGUUCUUGGUCCUCUCGCAAAACCGAUUGUAAGAUUCGUUCGAGUGACCACCCACCACCAGCUCAGGUCGAAUCACCCACAAGAAUGGCUUCUUCGAUGCCUCGAGAGCUCCCGCGAGCUCCUCGAAUUGCUCCUCGCUCAGCACCGCGAUGCUGCCAAAUGAGAUGUAGAGAACAGAUCCACGCUCCUGCGCAUCCAUCCAGUGAAGGCAAUCCUCGUUCUCGGGUCGAAGCACCACAUUCUUCCUGGAAUCGUCGAGCAAGAACAGUGGCCCCGCGGGGAUGAAUCGAGGCCCGAGCUCGCUGGCCAUGAAAUCAAAACUGGGCGCCUCUAGGUCGUAGAAGGAAUUGACGAGGACCCAGCGCGCGCGCUUCACGACGAAGGAGCGCUUGAUAGAAAUCUCCUUCCACACCUCGUCGCCCUGAAGGUACGUGGGCACAUCGGCCAGGCGGAGCGGCUUGACUCCUCGGACGUAAUCGAUGAUCACAGAAUUUGCCUCGUCCGCAGAAGCUCUUCCUGCGCACGAAUCGAUCAGUCCAAGGGAAGAACAGGGGAUGUUAAUUCCAAAGAGAAGAGGGCCAAAGGGAAGAACAGGGGAAAUGUGAUGGUAUUCCAAGGAAAGAACAGGGUAAUUCCAGGGAAAACAAUGGAAGAACAGGGGAAACUUUUAAUUCCAAGGGAAGAAUAGGGAAAACGUUUAAUUCCAAGGGAAGAACAGGGAAAGUUCAUGAUCAAAAUAGGCGAUUCGUACCUCUGCUAGGAAAUAUGUGAUCCUUCUCCAGAAGCUCUGGAAUGUGGUACUCCAAGCUCGUCCAUGCCGCGGUGCCCGGCCAAAGAAUGACCCUGGGGAUGCCAAACACAUCCGCCACAUCCUGGGUCCAAUCGCAGAAGUAAUCCGAGACGAUACAGCUGACCGGAUCGCCCUCCUCGCCGAGCUUGCGGAUCAAAUCCUCGAGGCCGCCGGGGAGCUCUCGCGCAGCUGCCGCGAACCAGUCCCCCAGAUUUCGCACGACGUGGGCGUCGACUCCUCGCGGGACCUUCCACGAGAAUGGGAUGGAAUGGAGGCGUAUCUCUUCCAGCGCCGCCCAGUGCUUGAUGAAUUCGUCGUGGAGGCUGUCGAUAUUGACCACGGAGAUUGUGAAGCUUGGAUCUUGAGCGAUGAACUUGCAGAGAUGGAUCAUUGGGGAGAUAUGGCCUUGGGCGGCCACUGGAACCGCCAAGACAUGGACCUUGGUAGAAGCCAUGAUUUUUUUUUGGCAAGGAAAGAUUUGUGCGUAAACUGUUUAGACUACUAGCCGUCUCUGGAAAAGAUUCCUUGGUAGUUUAGUGUUUUGGCCAAUUUCUGGAGAUUAAGAUCCUGAUGGUGGUUCCAAGGAUUAUUAUCCCCUCGCUGGGAUUAAGUUUCACAAUUCCAAAAGCUAAGGGACUGUAGAGUUUGGAUCGAUAUUUGGGGCAAUGAUCCCUUGCAUGCAUGGACAACUGCCACAUGAAUCUUGAUCUCUAUUAAGUUGGGAAAAAUCUAGAUAUUUCCGUGCAUGGCGGCUGGGACGAGCAAAAGAGAGAAGAAAAACAUGGUAAGAGCAUGUAACAUUAAGUAAGUGCUCUAAGACAUCUCUCUAAUCCCGGAUUCUUAAAGAAAUGCAUGACUACAGCGCGCUAAUGGUGUCUUCCCUUCGGCCGCAAAUGAUGCCUCGUCUGGGCAAAUGCAACUUCGCAAAGAUUCCGAGCAACAAUGUUGCGCUGAAGUUUGUAAGCAUCGACUUUAAUAUUGGUUCCAAACGUUUCAUGUAGGUUCUAACGAAGCUCUUUCGCAUCUAGUCAACUACCCCUAUCUGGCAAAUGCUAAGAGUCUAUCAGAGGGCAUUGUGGUGAUCCCAGGGGUUCCGCUAAAGAUAUCCCCAGUUGGUAGCGGCCAUUCGCGAGGAAUUCCAUCUCCUCGCGGUAAUCCCUGCGGAUUUCUCAACUCGGAGUCGGAUCGAGCAGCCAGGAUCGCCGCAGGGAUGUUGGCACCUCCUGCGCUCUGCGUCUGGCUUUCCAAUGCUCAUGCGACAUCUCUCAGUGAGGAAGAAACCGGCAUGGAUCAAAGAAGUUGGCACAUUAAUUAUCUUGAGAACUGGUACAAAGUUCUUAAAGUUCUCUUCAAAGAAUAGAUCUUUCACUCACUCGCGAUGGAUCUUCAAACCUUUGAGAUCUUCCAAGAAUGCUUGGACGCCACGAAACGAUUUCCCAUGCUCUUUGUCCAUGGCUUUCCUGGCAAGGAUCUUCAAGUUCUCCACUCUCUCCUUCAUUUCCUUCCCCUCUUCGCUAUCCAUCACCUUUCUUAUGCCGUCCUCGAUCUCUCCUCGCUCGAUCAAUCCCUGCAUCGCGGUCUUGGAGAAUCUAACCCCGAUCUUCCAGUCCUCCACUAUAAACUUACAGUUGGUGUUUUGCUCGACCCCGUAAGGCCACCCCAGCAUUGGAAUCCCGUGUGUGAUGCUCUCCUGGAUGGAAUUCCAUCCGCAGUGCGUAAGAAACGCUCCCAUGGAGGGAUGGGCGAGGACUCGCAGCUGUGGCGCCCAAGAAACGAUGAAUCCCUGGUUCUUGGUCCUCUCGCAAAACCCAUCGUAAGAUUCGGUGGACUGUCCGCCGACCACGAGCUCGGAUCGAAUCACCCACAAGAAUGGCUUCUUCGAUGCCUCGAGAGCUCCCGCGAGCUCCUCGAAUUGCUCCACGCUCAGCACCGCGAUGCUGCCAAACGAGAUGUAGAGCACCGAUCCAGGCUCCUGCUCAUCCAUCCAGCCAAGGCAAUCCUCGUUCUCGGGGCGAAGCACCACAUUCUUCCUGGAAUCGUCGAGCAAAAACUGUGGCCCCGCGGGGAUAAAUCUAGGUCCGAGCUCGCUGGCCAUGAAAUCGAAGGUGGGCGCCUCGAGGUCGUAGAAGGAAUUGACGAGGACCCAUCGCGCGCGCUUCACGACGGGGGAGCGUUUGAUGCAAAUCUCCUUCCACACCUUCUCGCCCUGCAUGUAAUCGG
rnacentral:lncRNA from 1 species